rnacentral:rRNA from 1 species
UGCCAGCCGCCGCGGUAAGACGAACCGACCGAACGUUAUUCGGAAUUACUGGGCUUAAAGGGUGCGUAGGCGGCCUUGUAAGUCAGAUGUGAAAUCCCACGGCUCAACCGUGGAACUGCCUUUAAAACUGUUAGUCUUGAGAUCGAGAGAGGUGAGUGGAAUUCCAAGUGUAGAGGUGAAAUUCGUAGAUAUUUGGAGGAACACCAGUGGCGAAGGCGGCUCACUGGCUCGAUACUGACGCUGAGGUACGAAAGUGUGGGGAGCAAACAGGAUUAGAUA